rnacentral:lncRNA from 1 species
GAUGCAUCGUAAGCACCUGAUACUUGAUUUUGAAAAUAGAAUCUUGUGCUUUGAGACUGGAAAUCCUCUGCUAUGCUGUUCUGCAGUUAUGCUUGAUGUCCUGCAGAGAAGAAUUACAGCGAGUUCUAAUGGCAGGAACUUAUGGGUGAAGGCAUCUGCUGAAGCAAUGGUUCCAGCUUUGGGUACUGCAUGUUGGAAAUCCUGUCCUUUCAUGUGAGAGCAUCUUAGGAAGAAUUUUGAUCCUGAUUUACAGUGAGUUACUUCCUUGCUGAAAAAGCUGACUGAUGCUUGGUAGAAUUACACACAAGCACUAAGGAAUGUAUCUGAUUCACCCUUACAGUUGCUUAGUUUCCUUUCACAGAGCAAUGGAUGUGGAAAGCGACCUCUGGUUGUCAGUAUUCUAACCUCUUCUGUUCAAAGCAUUUCAUCUAGAUCAGCUGUGUCCAGCCUAACUGUGAGUAUUUGUGAUAGCAGAGGUUCCACAAACUCUGUAAGCAAGCAUCCCAUGAUGGCAUUUCCUGUGCUUAUUUCUAUCACUGUACCUUUGUUUAGC